CGGCAACAGCUCAAAUUUGAAAUCUGGCCUCUCGGGGUCCGAGUUGUAAUUUGUAGAGGAUGUUUUGGGUACCGCCCCGGUCUAAAUUUCUUGGAACAGGACGUCACAGAGGGUGAGAAUCCCGUACGUGGUCGCUGGCCUACGCCGUGUAAAGCCCCUUCGAC
rnacentral:rRNA from 1 species